CGAGUACCCUCUCCCUAAAUUGAACCCUAGAUUUCCCAUCUAUAUAUACCUUUCUUCAUUUUCUAUGCUAGGGGUUGGAAAAGGAAAAACGGAAAAGAGAAAGUUACAGUAAAAUAGUUAUAGUAUAUACACGAAAUACAUUAGGAAAAGAGAAAGAAAAGUUAGUUUACGACCGAGUCUCAUUCCUCUAGCUUGGUCACCAUCGUUGGUCCAAG
rnacentral:misc_RNA from 1 species